AGUGAACGCUGGCGGUAGGCCUAACACAUGCAAGUCGAACGGCAGCACAGUAAGAGCUUGCUCUUACGGGUGGCGAGUGGCGGACGGGUGAGGAAUACAUCGGAAUCUACUUUUUCGUGGGGGAUAACGUAGGGAAACUUACGCUAAUACCGCAUACGACCUACGGGUGAAAGCAGGGGAUCUUCGGACCUUGCGCGAUUGAAUGAGCCGAGGUCGGAUUAGCUAGUUGGCGGGGUAAAGGCCCACCAAGGCGACGAUCCGUAGCUGGUCUGAGAGGAGGAUCAGCCACACUGGAGCUGAGACACGGUCCAGACUCCUACGGGAGGCAGGAGUGGGAAAUAUUGGACAAUGGGCGCAAGCCUGAUCCAGCCAUACCGCGUGGGUGAAGAAGGCCUUCGGGUUGUAAAGCCCUUUUGUUGGGAAAGAAAAGCAGCAGAUUAAUACCCCGCUGUUCUGACGGUACCCAAAGAAUAAGCACCGGCUAAUUUCGG
rnacentral:rRNA from 1 species